rfam:Gossypium hirsutum cultivar TM-1 chromosome 24, whole genome shotgun sequence
UAUUAAAAUUUUCAUCUAUUUCUAUUGUUAAAAACUUGUGAGACUGACAGAAUAAUCAAGUAAUGAGACGUACACCUCAUAUUGAUGUAUAAAGACUAAUUUUUAACGGUAAAAGUGGAUGAAAUUUUUAAUA